UACGUAGGGAGCAAGCGUUGUCCGGAAUCAUUGGGCGUAAAGCGCGUGUAGGCGGUUAAAUAAGUCUGUUGUGAAAGUCGGAGGCUCAACCUUCGAAAGCCGAUGGAUACUGUGUGACUUGAGUACGGAAGAGGAGAGUGGAAUUCCUGGUGUAGCGGUGAAAUGCGCAGAUAUCAGGAGGAACACCAACGGCGAAGGCAGCUCUCUGGGACGUUACUGACGCUGAGACGCGAAAGCGUGGGGAGCAAACAGG
rnacentral:rRNA from 1 species